GGACAAAGCUCCGGGUCCGGAUGG
rnacentral:siRNA from 1 species